GUAGUCUAAAACACCUGGAGAGCCCAAGUUUGGGAAUCACUGAGACGAAAAGCAGGACGAGGAGAGUGGCCAUUUCCGACAUCAGCUCUUCUUAAAACCAGGGUUUCCUCCAGCCCUGACCACUAAGAUGGGCAGAUCAGGAAUCCAACCUGGAACCUUGAGUUGUGCCAAGUGGGUGCCCUACCCUGGAACCAUGUGUCUCACAAAGGAUGGAGACCUACUGGAUUGCAAAGGAAGCAUCUUUUUGUCUUGCAAAUGGAUUUAAACUUUCCCGGACUUUGAGAAUUUCCCAGUAGAUACAUGGCUAGAAGGAGGAGGAGGAAGUAAGUGCCAGCCUGCAAGAAAUACCCCUCCACACCAUCUGAACUGAGACUAAAGCAGCAAAAUGCAGGCCUAUGACAAACAUCUUGAAUCUUUUGUCUCCUGUAUGGUUUUUAAUACCUUGCUGGAUGAAGAGGCCAGUAGAGCUUUGAAAGCUUGCAAUGUGUAUACUGUACUGUGCAUUUUGGUAGGCCCAAUAAAAAGUAUCAUUGGUGGA